CUUGACUAAUUUUUUUGAAAACUAACUCUUGCCUCAAAAAAUAAUUUUUAAGAAAAUUUAUGUAGUAAUCUCCGUGUCUUUCUAAAAAGUAACAAAUGAAAUUUCAAAAUUAAUUUAAUAAGAAAGCAAAUCGCUAAAAAAACUCAAAUUUUUCGAAAGAGCUUAUUCGUCAGUUUAUUUCAACAAGAGAGCUUAUUCGUCAGUUUAUUUCAACAAGUUGAAUAAUUCAAACAUUUUAGGUAGUAGUUUGUGAUGCAAUCUGGUGUUAUGUGUGUGUGAGAUACUACAUUGUUUUUUUUUUGGUGUUGAAUUCCUAACUUGCCCAGUUAGUCUUGCCUAGAUUGUAGGAUUGUUGGAUAGGAAAGGAUCAUAGGCCGUUCUUGAAAUAAGUUCACGUUUAUCCUAAACAACCUUCUAAAUGUGAAUAAGUAUUCUUUGAUCCCUAUUUUGAGCCUGUAUAGCCUAUUUUUCGUCUUACCUUUCACCUUCCUAUGUGUGUGACAACAAACCUAUUUUAUCCCUGAUCCUUCUUGGACAUUGUACACCUCAACUCAGGCAAAUCGCCUAAGUUGAGGGUGACUAUCAUAGGAGUGCAUAAUGUGAAGAGGGUAUGAAGAAGGGUAAAUAAGAGAAAAGAAAGUAGUGUUGGGUGUGGUAGAAAAAAAAUGAAAAAGAAAUAAAAAAAUUUGAAAAAUAAAAAGAACGAAUAAAAGAAAUUACACCCAACAUGAAUGUGCAAUACAACAUGAAAAGGAAAAAAUAAGGGUGGAUUAAAGAGAAUUGGUUGAUAAGUGGACCGCCAAAGUAAGUGCAGUGUCAAAGAGGCUUAGUCACUAAAAAGUUUCAUAUGUAUCAUACCAAUCCCCAAGCCUACAUUACAAGUUGAGUGAAAUCCUAUAGUGGUCCUAACUCGACUGUUUGAAAGCUAAGGUAAGGAAAAUAAGGGCAAAAUUAUGGUAUUCUACACACAUUGAUUAGAACCUCUUUGUGAGUAUGAGUGUCUCUUGAUAGUCCUUACAUUAACAUGCAUGAUUUCAUAUGAGUGAGUGGGACUUCUUUGAUGUGAGAGUUCAUGGGUUGUGUUGUUAGUUGGUUACUUGUUUGAGUACUGUAACUUUUACAUAUGCAUGGUUUUUUGUUGCUAAAAUAGUGUCAUAUCUUGAUUCCCUUGUGUCACAUUGUUGUGCUUUAUUGAUACAUACAAUUGGUUUUGAAGUGUUAAAAUUGGCGGGGGUAAUGUUUUGAACUUAAAGUGAUGAUUGACUAUCGUAGAUAGCUUAAGUGUCUCCUUGUUAAGUGUCGUUGUGUUAUUUAGUUGAGUCGUUCUAAGAUGAGGGUGUUGAUGUUCUAUUAUUUCAUAGCACUUUCGACGCUUAAAGCUAUGAAAAUAUGCAAGUUACUUAGGUUUUUUGUUAGAUAUAAUGUGUUUUUUUUUAUCUUUUGUAG
rnacentral:lncRNA from 1 species